rnacentral:tRNA from 1 species
GGGCUGGUAGCUGAGAUGGCCUAGCGGCGGUUUGAAGCACCGCAGACGAGGAUUCGAGCGCCUCCCGGCCCA